UACGUAGGGGGCAAGCGUUGUCCGGAUUUAUUGGGCGUAAAGAGCUCGUAGGCGGCUCGGUAAGUCGGAUGUGAAACCUCCAGGCUCAACCUGGAGACGCCAUCUGAUACUGCCGUGGCUCGAGUCCGGUAGAGGAGCAGGGAAUUCCUGGUGUAGCGGUGAAAUGCGCAGAUAUCAGGAGGAACACCAGCGGCGAAGGCGCUGCUCUGGGCCGGUACUGACGCUGAGGAGCGAAAGCGUGGGGAGCGAACAGG
rnacentral:rRNA from 1 species